AAGAAAGAAGCAUAAGUGGUUUAGUGCAGCUGGCUUGAAACCAGCGUGUGGAGGUUCGAUUCCUUCCUUUCUUG
rnacentral:tRNA from 1 species